rnacentral:lncRNA from 1 species
GACAAAUGUCAGUUUUUAUAGUUUGAAAAACAAGAAUUGUCCAAUCAGACAUUUUUUGUAAUCAAAAUAGAUUGAAGAUAUAAUUUUUACAUAUAUCUACUAGCUGUUCUUUAAAGUGUACACAAAAGACUUUAAUAUGCUUUCAUGUUUGAAUUGUUUAACACUAGUAAUAUUGGGGCACUCAAUAGCUUGCUGUUCAGUGUGAGCCAAAGCUCGGUGUUGAAGGCCGUACUUAGACAUAUAAUUGUUUACUAUUUACACAUUGUGAUUUGAAUUGUGAUUUGUCUCAUUAGCACGUGUACCAC